rnacentral:rRNA from 1 species
GUCUGGGGCUUCACCACCCUGAAUGUGUCUGAUUUUGUCUGAUCUCAGAAGCUAAGCAGGGUCCUGCCUGGUUAGUACCUGGGUGGGGGAAUAACUGCUACUGAGGGUU